AUCGAACCUGGGACCCUUCAGUCUGCAGGUCGGACUCUAUCCAAUGAGCCAAACCAGAUCGGGCUGACGUGAACUCUUAGGAACUCUCAAACACCUUUGUAACUCAUGCCUAUGUAUACAUGCACUGCCUAUGUAAGGCAUGACAUGAAGGAUGAAGAGGGGUAGGGGGGAGAUAUACUAGAAACAAGCGGCAUGUGCAAAGGUCCUGAGGUGCUAGAAAAUAUUCCUUCCCAUUUAGGAGAAGUGAAAGGUGCACAAUAGGGAUGGAAUGGAGAGUGAAAGGAAACUAGGCCGGGCCUAGGAAGCCUUGGUGAGGAAUCUGAUCUUUAACCUCCCCCUUCCCCUCAACAUGAUAAACACAGAUGAUACAAGAAGGGCUUCCACCAGAGAGAUGGGCAGGAGGAAGAAGGAAGGCGAUUGGGAAUAGACUAGGUGGGAGGAGGAAAUGGUGUCUAUACCAAAAACGGGUAGAGAGGGGCUGGGAAAGAGGUACAGAUACCAUUACGGUGAGUCCAGCUGAGCUCGCCCAACCGUGCCCAACCGUGGGGGACGGGUUGGUGGAGGAGGGGAGAGUCUGGACCACAAGGCCUCCCCCUCCAUCCUCCAGGGUCCUAUGAGGUUGCCUUCCCUUACGCUGCAGAGAAAAUGCGGGAGGCCAUUGCGCAGCUUAAAGAAGGUAAAAUGGACUCCAACUCCUUCCCCCAGGUACACACACAAUUUUAUUAAAAAACCCAGCCUUAAAGCGGCCAUUCGCCUGAUGGAGCUCUGAACCGCUUGCCCUGGGUGGGACACAGGCUCUACUCCUGCAGGAACGAACCACUGGGGAUCUGGCCCCGCCCCUGCGAUCUAAGAUUCCCUCCCCAGCAAGGAUCCCUUCGUGGGACGGUCCUGUCCCAGAUCAGCCCCAGCCUCUGGCUUGGACCUGGCCCCGCGCGCUGUGAGAGUGGGCUACUUGCUUCAGGCCUGGCCACACCUCUAACCGGGCCCCGGAGAAGCGCCAGGGAUCCGGCCCCGCCCCCUCGGUGGAAUGCACCGGGGCUGGCCCCGCCUCCUCGGUGCACACAGCAGGACUGCCACCCUUAGAUGGCCAGAAGCCACCGGGCCUGACCUCCAGUGCAAUUCUGCAGGCCCGGCCGGGUCCCCCCCGGUGGCAUACAGCAGGCCUGGCCCCGUCCCUUCCGAGGAAUGCACCUAAACUCGGUAACAUCUCCUAGGGGAGCCCCAGCUGGGCACCCCCCUACACUCCCAGGGCGGUGACGCUUCCCCUCUCUCCGCAGUUCAGGCCUGCAUCCCUCCCUGCGGUAAGCACUUCCCUCAACGCUCAGGAUCGCGGGGGUAAGGGACGCGGUCAGGGCCGAAACGGGGGGGCGGGUGGGAGGGGUGUUCUAGUGGGAGCGCAGGGGUGGGCCUCCGAUCCAAAGGAAGCCAAGAAGAGCCCUGGAGAAAAGCAGGCAUUGCACACCGAGCUCAUGAAAGGCGGGUCCGAGAGCCAAAGCAAACCAAUAAAAAAAACCCAGAGGCCGGAGAAUGGUGAGAACCAGCCAAUGAGCGCAGAGAAGGCGGGGCCCGGGCUCCCGCUGAUGGAACCCAGGGAGGCUUAAGGGCGCGGGCUGGGAAAGGCUAGUGGCGCCCAGCCAGACCCAGCGCUCCCGCCCGCAGGGGUGCAUUCUCUCCCGGCGUUUCCGCUGCCGCGGGUGCUACUCCAAGGUCUGCGACCUCCCGCUGGACUGCCCAGUUCAGGACGUGACGGUGAGACGGGGCGAUCAGGCCAUGUUCUCCUGCACCGUGAACUUCCAGCUGCCCAAGGAGGAGAUCACCUAUUCCUGGAAGUUCGCAGAAGGGGGUGUGAGUAGGGGCGGGGCCCGCGCGAAGGUGUUUUGGAGGCGAGUUAGGCUUCAUUGAAGAUGGGGAGUCAGGACUCAGGGGUGGGGUUCGGGGAGAGGGGGGAGGAUCUCAGCCUUGAUUCAGCCUGCGUGCAAAGGGAGGGUCCUGGCAUUUAGGGGAGGAGUCGAGGCUCACGCUGCAGGACCCGGGCUGGGGGACUGACUUUUGCGUAAUUAAUUGUUCAGGGCGGGUGCGCAAGUUUCAGACCCCAGGGGCGGAGUCAAGAUUUAGGAGGCGGGGCUCCAGGGGGCGUGGUCUAGCUCGGGGGCGCGGCUUGUAGGUGCGGGGUAGCUCCG